UACGUAGGGUCCGAGCGUUGUCCGGAAUUAUUGGGCGUAAAGGGCGCGUAGGCGGCUUGGCAAGUGGAUGGUGAAAUCCCUCGGCUUAACCGAGGAACUGCCGUCCAAACUGCUUCGCUUGAGACCGGGAGAGGUGAGUGGAAUUCCCAGUGUAGCGGUGAAAUGCGUAGAUAUUGGGAGGAACACCAGUGGCGAAGGCGGCUCACUGGACCGGUACUGACGCUGAUGCGCGAAAGCGUGGGGAGCAAACGGG
rnacentral:rRNA from 1 species